rnacentral:lncRNA from 1 species
ACCCCAAAAAUGCGAUCAAAUUGUCUUCCUUUACAAGUUGAAUUCCAUUCAAGAACAAUUUUGGAGAAAUGGUGAGAUGUACAAUGAGAAGGAGGGGUAUAAUUUGCAAGAACUGGAGGUUUUCCAUAUGUAUAACAAAAAUCAUGUUGCAGAACAGUAUAUACGCAAGGUUUGACCUUAUUUGGGACUUCAAUGGGUUUUGUUACUUCAAAAUAAACAGUUGGUGGGGUAUCAUUGAAGGAUUUGGAAGUAUUUGCAGAUGUGGGUUCGACAAGGAGGUCUGAUUUGAGGAGGAUUUUGGCUUUGUGAAUGUUGGCUGUGGAGGGGACAUGAUAGUUGAGGAAGAGGAAAGAGAGGAGCAGAGGCAAGAGAGAGGUAGCCAUGAACAGUGGUUCUUGUUGCUCCUGCUUUACUUGGCAUCAUGUUUUUGACUUCUUUCCUUUCGUUCAACUGAGCUGCAGAUAUUCGAAUUAUUAAAAUUUAUUAAAACUUUUCAUUUUUAAAUAUAUUAAAAAAAGUAAAAUCCAUUUUGAUCCUUAAGUUAUAUCUUAAUUAAUUUGUUUAUUUAUUUUUGACAAAUUAGUAUACUUUUGCUAAAUUCACUGUCGGAUUCUUCCUUUAAAAAAGGAAGCAUUUUUUGGUUAAUCAAACAUACUUUUCAGAUAAAAUAUUCUGAUUUUUUUAGACAAACAAUAUUAAUUAUUUGGACGGAAUGACUCGACAAUAAAUUUAAACAAAUUUUAAAAAAUUCAUAAAUUAAUAAUAAUUUUUAAAAAUAAAAAGACGUAUUAAUUAAUACAUAUUUUAGAGAUUUAAGCAUAUUUUACAAUUAAAGAAAUAAUAUUGAAAUUUGAAAGCUAAGUAUUAUAAAAAAUAUAAAUAAAAAUGCUAAAGAAUUUUAAAAUAACAUAGCAAGAAUAUGGUGUAAUUUGACUGUACUUCUGACUUUCUAUAAAAACAUAAAUAAUGUAAAUUCUGGAGUCUUACCAAACAUAAAACUAAUUUUAUUUUAAAGUUGAAUGAUAUAUUUUUUAAUUUAUACAAACUUAAAAGGCUCCUUAAUUAUUUAACUCUCAAGAAAACUCUUUAAAUAAUCACAAUUAAUAAUAAUAUCAUAACUCUCGAGGGGUGAGAUGAAAUUAUAUGGAUCUCUUCUCACUUAAUCAGAUGUCUCAAUUUAAAUUUUGAAUAUAUAAAUCAUUUAAACAUUUAAGAGGGAGCAAUUUGCCUCCUUCAUAAACCUGUACAAUGCGAAUUUAAAUUAUCAAAUAUGAAAUAAUUAAAAAAAAAACCAAUAUCAUAAGAAUGCAAAAAGGUAAUGCUGAACUCAAAAUUAAAUGUAAAACCUAUCAAAAAUUAAUUACAUUUAAAAUUGAAAAAUUAUAUUUUAAUUUUGUUCACAUUUUUUCGUGAGAAAUAGUUUUUAAAUGCAGCUUUUAUAUAAUAUGAUAGAUUAGGACAAAUUUGGAAAAAAAAAAUCUUAUUAAGAGAAGACAAAAUGUUGGAUUUGAACACAAAGCAUAAUUUUGGUCUUUUUAGCUAAAAACAAUGAUUUCUUCUUUUUUUUCAAAUUAUUUUUUAAGAGUUAGAAAAGAUUGGAUUUCUUUUUUUAGGUGAUUAUAAAAUAAUUAUUUUACGAUGAAUGGAAGAUACAAUCUUACUAAAUUAUAUGGUUAAUUCUUUUGACGGAAAAUAAAAUAUAAAAUGUUGUAAAUUAUGAAUCAUGUAUUUAGUUUCGGUUUGAAAAAUGAAAAUUUUCGUAACAAAGAAAAAAUUUACAAUUAUCUUAAUAGGGUAAUUGAUUUGAUAGUUCAUAUAAGAUAAGACUUGUUAUCGGGCCGACUCCAAUCACCAAAGGAAUUAUGUGCUAUGGAUUAAGCCAAUUACAUCCAUUCCAGUAAUUUCGUAGGAGAUUAUUCAUCUUAGGAUUUCUGUUAAGUAAGUACUCUUAACCCUAAAGUUCUUCUUCCAACUUUUCAAGCCAUUUUAUCAAAAGGUACCUUUGAUGAUUAGUUUUUCUUUUCGAUUCAUUCCUAUGUCCCGCAUUUCACUAUCCAUAACUAACCUGUCAUCCUAGAAGCUAGCCAGGAGCUUUGCUCUAUGAAUUCUCUUAGGAUCGCCUUGUCAGGUUUGGGAUGUCACACUUAUCUACACCCAAUUAAAGCAAAAUCUUAUUAAAGCUUAUGCAAAAAAUUUUUGUUGAAUAUUAGCGAGCUAACUUAUAACCUAUUUUGUAAUUAAAUCAUAAUAAUUAAAAUUAUUAAAAAAAGAAACAAAAAGUUCACUUAAUAAUGAUUAAUUUAAUAAUAUCUAAAAAUAACUUAUUUUGUUAUUAAAUCAUAGGAACUAAAUUACUGAAACAAAGGAGAUAUAAAGUUUACGUGAGAAUAACUUAAUUAUUGCAAAUGGGAGAUAAAAAGAUGAUUCCUUUUUUUUUCGCGUAAAUCUUCAAUAUCCGACCCUAUUAUCAGAGAUCGCCUCAUCCAGUUCAAGAAUUAAUUACAAUUAAAGCUCUUUGCUCCUCAUUGCAGGAGUGUUUAGCGGGAAUCAAACCCGAGGGAUAAAAAGUUGAUUCUUUUUUUGGUGUGAACCUUCGAUAUUCGACGCUAUUAUCAGAGACCGCCUAAUCCAGUUCGGGACUUAAUCACAGUUAAAGCUCUUUACCCCUCUCUGCAGGUGUGUUUAGCGGGAGUCAAACCCGAGAGAUAGAAAGUUCAUUUAAUAAAGCUAACUUAUUAAAGUUUAUUUAAUUAUUAAAGGUAAGUAUGUAACAUAUUUUCUUAUAACAUAUUGCAGUUUAUACAUAUUAAGAAAAUUAAACCCUUUUUUUGGCAUAUAGCUUUAUAUAAAUACGUAAAUAUAGAUAGAUAUUAAAAUUAAAAUCAUGUCUUAAAAAUAUAUCAUAAGCUGUUGUGCAUCUCAACAUUCUAGGUCAUUGCAAUUUAAAUACGUAAAUAUAGAAUGUAGUACAGUGUAAUCAAAUGCAUUUUCAGUAUUUCUAUUUGAAACAUAUUUGAUUAUAUUACAUUGUUUUCUAUUACAUUCUCCAAAGGGAGCCUUAAUGAUUGUCCACAGUGAUUGAAAAUCUGAAAACUGUGAGCACAGUAUCACAAGAAACAAUAUCUUCAACCAUCUUCUCCAGAUCAGUAAAGGAAUUUAUUUUUAGGGGUUACAAGAUAAUAAACUUGAAGCACAAGAUAUUCAAAAUAAACUCUACAAUUAAUCCAAACAUGGCAGUUUAUUUAAAAUGAAUUUUUUUAAGGAAAUUCAUUUGCAAAAGAAAUGAGUUUCAUAUGGAUUUGCUCCAGGUAAAGGGCCAUUUGGAUUCCCCAGGUGAACCAUCAAAAUACUAUUGUUAAAACAAAAUCCAAAAGGACUUGUGGCCUCAACUUAGCCAAUAAUCAAACUUUUAUUUUGGCUUAAUCCAUAAAUUUGCUCCUGAUUUGAUUUAUAGCACUUUCAAGUUUGCGUGUACUUAUCAUAACUUACAUGUUCACAUUUCAAUAAUAAUUACACCACACGUCAAAAUGAAAUAACUUUGCAAAAGGUCAAUCCUAACCUGCACACUUUUAUAUUUUAUUUUGACGAGAGGCAUAGUUAUUACUGAAAUGUAAAAGUGUAGAAUUAUGAUAGAUUCUCCGCAAACUUGAGGAUGCCAUAAGACAAAUUAAGUUAACUACAUGGGCAAAUCUUUAAUUUUAAGUUAGUGGUUUAGAAGACUACGAAAGAGAUAAGGAUCAGAUCAUACUGGCAUGACAUCUCCUACUUCUGUCAAUCUUUAAAUUAGGGGUGUACAAACCAACGGAACCGAACCGCAAAAAUUGAAAAUAUAUAUUAUUUAAAAUCAAAUCAAAUCAAAAUAAAUUUAAUAAUCAAACCAAACUGGUCAGUUUAAUCAAAUAGUUCGGUUUUACUCAGAAAAUAAAUAUUUUGGAAUAACUUAUUCAAAGCACAAAAACCAAAAUUAUGAAAGUUUUCAAAGCAAAACCGAAAUCUAAAAAACCAAACCAAAAACCGAAAAUAAUUUGGUUCAGCUCAGUUUUUGGUUGUUUCCAAAGUUUGCUCACACUUACCUUAUAUAUGACAAGACAAAGCCACUUGACUAAGACAGAGAACUUGUUAAAUUUAAAAGCUUAGCUCUUUUUUUUAUCUCUGAUAAAAUAGAAACACUGGCUAUUAGGUUAAAUAAUUAAGUUCAGUUUCAGGCAGGAACAUCUGCGGUCAAGUUCGGGGAAAAAUUAUGCGAUACCAAUGAAUUUCUCUGCGCGCCCCCAUCCACAUGAAAGAUAAAUCCAGUCUAUUUUCAAGCAGGUCAUAGAGAGAAAAGAUACAAGAACGCAAAUAAAUACAAGGAUAACACAAAAGGAACUUUCUUUAAAGAAAUAUAGUCUAGGAACUUUCUUUCAAAAGAUAUAUACACUAUCGCACUUGCAAUUUUUAUUUCAAUUUUCAAAUUACCUGAGCAAUGGAAACCUCUGGAGCAAUCAAGAUGGGUUCCUUUAGGAAGGCAUCAAAAAAUGGAAAAUAUCAUUAAACUCCAUCAUUAUAUGGUAACUCAGAUGCUAGAGAAGCCCUUCGAGCUGGAAAUGGCCACAAUCUGCUAAUCCCAAAACUCAGAUGAGACUGUUCCUUCUUAUUGCACUUAUUUCCCACUUUGUCAUAAAGAAUGCUGUAGUUUGAACUGCUUAUGUUCCUAAAGUAGCAGAACUUAUUGUCAUCAUAUUUGUAAGCCUGCUGUGUACUUCCCACUCCACUGACCACCAAAUUGUUCUUUACAACCAUAACACCCUGUGCAUCCUGCAGAUUUUUUAGAUGGCUUGUCCCAAGUCCGGAUCCAGCAUCUUUUAAUUUCUCCUCAUUGAAUCCGAGUGUGACGUUUGUCACGUAUAAGGAAGUGCCAUUUCCUUGAUCAAAUAAGUCUGAGUACAUGUCAAUAUGGAACCUUUUUGAUGAUUUGAAUGAAUGAAGAGAAGAAGUAAGCUUUCUGAAAGAAACAGUGUCAUUAAAGUUAAUUAUCUGAUUCACAAUCUGCAAAUUCCCAUUAUCACCCAUCUCCAUUGAGUUGCUGUAACUGAAGUGUUGAUUAAAGCGGGUAGUGAUCUUCCCAAAGGAUGACUGCACCCAUCCACUUGUGGAUAUGGACCUUCGUGCAGUUGUUAAGAAUGUUCCAUUCAAAUCCUUGAAAUUUGACACUAAAGAAAAAACAAGAGGCUUACUUUCAUGUUUCAAAACCUUCCCUUUAGUUUUCCUGCUCUUAUGGUCCAACCAAAGGUGCAAAUUUGCAUCUAUAUACCAAACAUUCAAAGCAUUUGUGACACUAAAACCUAACUUAUGGAUCUUUCCAUCUAAUAUACUCCCUAAAAAUGAUGUAAUUUCAAUAUCAUAAGAAGGAAGAUUGAAUGAACCAAUACCAGUAAUGGGUCUCCACAGGAGAGGAUUGAUCCCACCUGUAUAAAUCACGGUAAAAGGCCAAAUUGAACCAACAAUCUCUCCAUCAAGACUAACAACAGCCUCCCUAAAAGGACCAUUUCCAGGGGUAUCAGUAAGAUUAUUGGCAACAAUAUACUCAUUAGGAUAAUUGGAAUACCAAAAUUCAUCAUUCUCAUGAAAAGAAACAUAAACCUCCAAAACAGCCCUAUACACAUUUUGAGGGAUCGCAAAUUCCUUAAAUUGCGAAUCAGUGGAAUUCUCAAUUUCAAACCACAAACCAUCAUUCAAUGGCAAAUUUCUUGAAAUGGGCAAGAUCAAAUCAGCUUUAGAAGCAUGUGUAUCUACCAAAUUACUCAAGCCAUACUCACUAUGACUAAAUUUCUCUUCAGCAGGAUAAAAAUAAAUAGUUAUAUUCACAUGGUAAACGCCAGUGUAAGUUCUAUCAACAAGAUUACCAAGAUAAACAGCAAAUUCUUGAGUCUCGUUCUUAAUAAGCGAAGAAUAAUACCUCGUUAUAUCCUUUUGAACAGACCAAAAAAUCCCGGUUGCUCUUGGCUCAGCUGUGCAGCUCCUAAGAAGCUCCACACCACCUAACCAAACCCCAAAAAUGCGAUCAAAUUGUCUUCCUUUACAAGUCGAAUUCCAUUCAAGAACAAUUUUGGAGAAAUGUUUAGAUGGGCAGUGAGAAGGAGGGGUAUAAUUUGCAAGAACUGGAGGUUUUCCAUAAGUGUAACCAAAAUCAUGUUGCAGGACAGUAUGUACACAAGGUUUGACCUUGUUUGGAACUUCAAUGGGCUUGGUUACUUCAAAAUAAACAGUUGGUGGGGUGUCAUUGA